CACGUGGGAGCGCAAGCGUUGUCCGGAAUUAUUGGGCGUAAAGAGCUCGUAGGCGGUCUGUUGCGUCCGCUGUGAAAACUCGGGGCUUAACCCCGAGCCUGCAGUGGAUACGGGCAGACUAGAGGUAGGUAGGGGAGAAUGGAAUUCCCGGUGUAGCGGUGAAAUGCGCAGAUAUCGGGAGGAACACCGGUGGCGAAGGCGCCACUCUGGGCCGGUACUGACGCUGAGGAGCGAAAGCGUGGGUAGCAAACAGG
rnacentral:rRNA from 1 species